CAUCAGCUACUUCUAAACCCUUUUCUAUAAAUAUCCAAGUUGGUACCUGAUUGCUUCACAACUCUCUCAAUCCUUGUAAUCUUUCAUUUGCAGAUUUCAUAAUCUCAUAGGAAACUAAAAUGGCAAACCAAAUUGUGCUUUUGGCUUUUGUAGCAAUGACAUGUUCUCUGGUCAUUGCUUUCGAGCCUAAACCACUGCAAGAUUUCUGCAUUGCUGACACUACUAGCUCAGUAAUAAGAGUAAAUGGGUUCCCUUGCUUGGACUCCAAGCUAGCACAAGCUGACCAUUUCUCCUUCGGAGGACUUCACAUGCCCGGAAACACCACAAACCCUCUUGGCGUUAAAAUUACCCCAGUCAAUGUGGCUCAAAUUCCAGGACUCAACACCCUUGGCAUCUCACUGGCUCGAAUUGACUAUGCACCAGGGGGUGUUACCCCUCCCCACACUCAUCCUCGUGCCACUGAGAUUCUGACAGUUGUGAAAGGCAAGAUCUAUGUUGGCUUUGUGACCUCCAACCCAGAGAAUAAGCUCAUCUCAAAGGUCCUCAAGAAGGGUGAUGUGUUUGUGUUCCCUAUUGGACUAGUUCACUUCCAGCAAAAUCUGGGAUCUGGAACAGCCAUUUCACAGUCUUCUCUGAGCAGCCAAAACCCUGGAGUCAUCACUAUUGCUAACUCAGUUUUUGGACCCAAUCCCUCGAUUUCAGAUGAUGUUCUGGCCAAGGCUUUCCAAGUUGACAAAUCCAUUAUUAGCAGUCUGCAGGCACAAUUUUAGAGUAUUUUUAUGGAAGAGUUUCUGAUUCAAUCACCCUCCGUAAUUAGAGUCUGAAGACAAGUUUCUGAUUCAUGAACAGGGCUAUUCAUUUGCAUCUUAUGUGUUAAAAUUGUAGAAGUGUGUGCUAAGAUCUCCAUCAAAAUCAAAUUAUGUGUGGGAAGAGCACUAAUUGAGAUGAUUCUGAAGCGUGAGAGUGAGGAGAAUGCCAAGGAUCACUAUGAAUAAUGACUUUAAUGGGUCACCAGUAAUUCAAGGUCUUCAAUGAUUUGCAUGAAAAAGAAUCUGUAAACAAGAAUUACUAAAUUGGAAAACCAAGAGAACCAAAUGACGCAACAGUUAUUUCUGUUAAGAGCAUACUCUCAUUCAGCGUAAUAAGGUCAGCUGAAUUUUUCAAUAAGAUGGUGACAAGUUACCUUACCCACAGUGAUUCAGCAGUUUUGCUGUCCAGUUGAUCUCUUGUGCAGAGCAGGGUUCUCAUAUCAGGCCAAGGACUUCUUUAGGCAUUGCUGCGACUGUGGCUGCUGCCUACGGAGAGGACUCAUAGAUUGAUCUGAUACUAAGAAAAUGAAAAACACCACCUUCCCAACCAAGCUCACAGCAUGUCGGGCAACUUUUAUGGAAAGGCAGGUCAAUAAGCUGAAAGUUUCAGAGACAAGAAGAAUAAUCAAACCAAUUGCCAAGGAGCAAUCGGUUGCCAAUUUAGGAGUGAUAUAAAAAGCAAGAAUUCUGGAGAUAAUAUGAUCACAGACUCUGUAACUACCUGAACAGAAUUAAAAAGACCACAUGAGAUGGUGCUAAAUUAAAGGUGGAGAAUAAAUCAAAGGUUCAUAAGAAGCUUCCAUAUUCUGGUUCUCUGUUCAAAACUUAUUUCUGUGUUUUUUUUUCAAGCAAUUACAUUUCAGUGGCUGGACAGGAUAAAGACGAAUUUCCAAAUAGCAAACCAGAGUUUAAAAUCAAUCUUCAAUCCAUGAUAAAGUAAUGAGUUGUGAUAGGUUAACCCAUAAUGCUUGGUAAAUCUAGAACUUUUCUCCAUAACUCUUCACUUCUGGUAUCAUUGUUCUUUUUAGCAUCAACCCAACUUGCUAUCAACUUUGGCAAUAUAUAAACUUCUAAAAAGCGAAGUUUAGAUUCUAAUACCACCUUAAGACUAGCCUGUUAUAAUAUUUGUACAUAUUAAGCUUGAAUAUUUUCUUACCAUCUGAAAAACAAAGUAGGUCUUUGGUAUAAGCCAGAGGCUUUCAGCCAAUAGAUAUUCAAAUGAGGUACAGAAACAAUGACAAAGUAAUUUGACCAUCAAAAACAAGCGAAAUUGAUACAAGGAAACAAAAACAAGAACUAUAUUAUAAUCUGUAUCUGAAACAAUUUACAGUUUAGAGUACAACACCUCAAGCUGGGUUGCCAACGAAAAGGUUGGAAAUUCUAUCACACUAAGCUUUCAGUGCCAGACUACAGUUUGAGACUUAAGAACACUAUAUCUGAAGCCAAAUAAAAAAAAGAA